rnacentral:ncRNA from 1 species
CAAAGGUUUGGUCCUAGCUUUACUAUCAACUCUGACCUAAUUUACACAUGCAAGUCUCCGCACUCCUGUGAGAAUGCCCUUAUUGUCCUGCCUAGGAACUAAGGAGCAGGUAUCAGGCACGAUCAUCAGCCCAAUACACCUUGUUUUGCCACACCCCCACGGGUAAUCAGCAGUGAUAAACUUUUAGCUAUAAGUGAAAACUUGACUUAGUUAAGGUUAAAAGGGCCGGUAAACCUCGUGCCAGCCACCGCGGUUAAACGGGAGGCCCAAGUUGAAAGACAGCGGCGUAAAGCGUGGUUAAGGUACUAUAUUAAAUAGGGCCGAAUAGUCUCAAAGCAGUCAAAUCUAUUCGAGACCACGAAGCACAUCCACGAAGGUGGCCCUAACACCCCUGACCCCACGAAAGCCAUAACACAAACUGGGAUUAGAUACCCCACUAUGUAUGGCCGUCAAAAUUGAUGGUACUUCACUCGAACCAUCCGCCCGGGGACUACGAGCCCUAGCUUAAAACCCAAAGGACCUGGCGGUGCUUUAGAUCCCCCUAGAGGAGCCUGUCCUAUAACUGACAACCCCCGUUAAACCUCACCACCCCUUGUCAAUCCCGCCUAUAUACCACCGUCGUAAGCUUACCCUAUUGAAGGUUCAAAAGUAGGCUCUAAUAGUAAUACUAGAGACGUCAGGUCGAGGUGUAGCGUAUGGGGUGGGAAGAGAUGGGCUACAUUCCCUAAUGAAGAGAAUACGAACGGUAAUUUGAAAAAAUUACACUGAAGGAGGAUUUAGUAGUAAGGAAGGAGCAGAGUGCCCUACUGAAAAUGGCCCUAAAGCGCGUACAGACCGCCCGUCACUCUCUCCGAAACAAAUUCCUUUGUACAUAACACAUAAAAUAAAACAAGGUGAGAUAAGUCGUAACAUGGUAAGUGUACCGGAAGGUGUGCUUGGAUAAAU